rnacentral:rRNA from 1 species
GACGAACGCUGGCGGCGUGCUUAACACAUGCAAGUCGAACGGAAAGGCCCUGCUGUUUGGGGGUGCUCGAGGGGCGAACGGGUGAGUAACACGUGAGUAACCUGCCCUUGACUUUGGGAUAACUUCAGGAAACUGGGGCUAAUACCGGAUAGGAGCUCCUGCUGCAUGGUGGGGGUUGGAAAGUUUCGGCGGUUGGGGAUGGACUGGCGGCUGAUCAGCUUGUGGGUGGGGUAGUGGCUUCCCAAGUCUUUGACGGGUAGCCGGCCUGAGAGGGUGACCGGGCACCUUGGGCCUGCGGUACGGCGCAGUCUCGUAUGGGGGGCAGCAGUGGCGAGUAUUGCCCAGUGGGCGGGCGUGUGAGGCGGCGGCGCCGCGGGUGUGAUGACGGCCUGCGGGUUGUGAACCGCUUUCGCCUAUGACGAGGCGGUCGUGACGGUACCGGGUGAAGAAGCACCGGCUAACUACGUG